AAACAAAUUCUUGUGAGCCAUAUUUACUAUGAACAAACCAUUUAUGAGUGUGUAUACAAAUGCUUCAUUUAUGAGAAUUAACAUAGGAGCAAUGCUUUA